GAUGAAGAACGUAGCGAAAUGCGAUAAGUAAUGUGAAUUGCAGAAUUCAGUGAAUCAUCGAAUCUUUGAACGCACAUUGCGCCCCUUGGUAUUCCGAGGGGCAUGCCUGUUCGAGCGUCAUUAUAACCCCUCAAGCUCAGCUUGGUGUUGGGGCCUGCUGCACUGGCAGCCCUUAAAAUCAGUGGCGGCGCCAUCUGGCUCUAAGCGUAGUAAUUCUUCUCGCUAUGGAGUCCUGGUGGAUGCUUGCCAUCAACCCCCAAUCUUUCUAUGGUUGACCUCGGAUCAGGUAGGGAUACCCGCUGAACUUAAGCAUAUCAAUAAGCGGAGGA
rnacentral:misc_RNA from 1 species